AUACCAUUACAUAUUGUGACACUUGUAGAUCCUACUGAUAUACUAAUGAUCAAAGCAGAAUGGCUAACCUACCGCACUAUAUCUCUUAAAGUAAAACAAACAUAAUCCAGAUUUAUUUUUCUACAACUUUUUCUUUUUCCUCCUCUCGGUUUUUUUCUCUUUCUUUUGCUCCUUCUUUUGUUCUUUCUUUUCUCGUUGUUCUUUUAAGCGCUGUUUUCUUUCAGCCAGUAGAGCCUCAUCUUCAGGAUUUGCGCAAGCAACUUCGAAUAGUUUCCAUGAAAGAAUUAAACCUAGACCAGUCGCGCCAAAAACAUAAAGAUCUAAAGUAAUCAAUGUGGUCUGAACAAGUAUGAAUGUGAUUAUCAUCUUAAUGAUGAUCUCACGGCCUGACACAUUGCUACGAACUUCUUUACGAAUACCCAAAGGAAACCAUCGAAUUUUACCAGGGGGUCCAAAUGAAAUAUGAUAAUUCCGUUUCGUGGGAUUGUUAGAAGGACCCUUGGGCUUAUAAAUGUGAAUUAAAUUGAUAAAUGCUCCAAUAAGGAAAAUAGCUAGUCCAAUUUUGUUAUUCUUCGGAUUCGAGAAAGUCUUUGUCAAUUGAUACGGAGAUUCUUCUUCACUCAUUGUAAUUUAUUUUCUAUUAUAGGAGAUAUAAAAGAAGAACCGUUCGUUCCAAAUUAAUUUGAUCAAAGUAUGGUGAAUGAAACCGUCGGGGUGGAGGUUAGGAAAAAUGUGGUACUACAGACAAAAAAUAGAAUAAUUUGCCUCUCCCAUAAACAGAUAUUCAAGAUGUAUUUUAUCGUAUGUUCUCAAAUUACCUAGACGCUAACACUAAUAAAUAAAUUUGAAAAUAUUAU